GAUGAACGCUGGCGGCGUGCCUAAUACAUGCAAGUCGAGCGAAUGGAUUAAGAGCUUGCUCUUAUGAAGUUAGCGGCGGACGGGUGAGUAACACGUGGGUAACCUGCCCAUAAGACUGGGAUAACUCCGGGAAACCGGGGCUAAUACCGGAUAAUAUUCUGAACUGCAUGGUUCAAAAUUGAAAGGCGGCUUCGGCUGUCACUUAUGGAUGGACCCGCGUCGCAUUAGCUAGUUGGUGAGGUAACGGCUCACCAAGGCAACGAUGCGUAGCCGACCUGAGAGGGUGAUCGGCCACACGGGGACUGAGACACGGCCCAGACUCCAGCGGGAGGCAGCAGUAGGGAAUCUUCCGCAAUGGACGAAAGUCUGACGGAGCAACGCCGAGUGAGUGACGAAGGCUUUCGGGUCGUAAAACUCUGUUGUUAGGGAAGAACAAGUGCUAGUUGAAUAAGCUGGCACCUUGACGGUACCUAACCAGAAAGCCACGGCUAACUACGUGCCAGCCGCCGCCGUAA
rnacentral:rRNA from 1 species